rnacentral:rRNA from 2 species
AUGCAGUCGACGAGUUCUGAUUAUUGAAAGGUGCUUGCAUCUUGAUUUAAUUUUGAACGAGUGGCGGACGGGUGAGUAACACGUGGGUAACCUGCCCUUAAGUGGGGGAUAACAUUUGGAAACAGAUGCUAAUACCGCAUAAAUCCAAGAACCGCAUGGUUCUUGGCUGAAAGAUGGCGUAAGCUAUCGCUUUUGGAUGGACCCGCGGCGUAUUAGCUAGUUGGUGAGGUAACGGCUCACCAAGGCAAUGAUACGUAGCCGAACUGAGAGGUUGAUCGGCCACAUUGGGACUGAGACACGGCCCAAACUCCUACGGGAGGCAGCAGUAGGGAAUCUUCCACAAUGGACGCAAGUCUGAUGGAGCAACGCCGCGUGAGUGAAGAAGGCUUUCGGGUCGUAAAACUCUGUUGUUGGAGAAGAAUGGUCGGCAGAGUAACUGUUGUCGGCGUGACGGUAUCCAACCAGAAAGCCACGGCUAACUACGUGCCAGCAGCCGCGGUAAUACGUAGGUGGGCAAGCGUUAUCCGGAUUUAUUGGGCGUAAAGCGAGCGCAGGCGGUUUUUUAAGUCUGAUGUGAAAGCCCUCGGCUUAACCGAGGAAGUGCAUCGGAAACUGGGGAAACUUGA